GAGUUUGAUCAUGGCUCAGGAUGAACGCUGGCGGCGUGCUUAACACAUGCAAGUCGAACGAAGCACUCAGGAACGAAUCUUCGGAUGAAGUCCUUUGUGACUUAGUGGCGGACGGGUGAGUAACGCGUGGGUAACCUGCCUCACACAGGGGGAUAACAGUUGGAAACGACCGCUAAUACCACAUAAGCUGGCGGAACCGCAUGGUACUGCCGGAAAAGAUUUAUCGGUGUGAGAUGGACCCGCGUCUGAUUAGCCAGUUGGCAGGGUAACGGCCUACCAAAGCGACGAUCAGUAGCCGGCCUGAGAGGGUGAACGGCCACAUUGGGACUGAGACACGGCCCAAACUCCUACGGGAGGCAGCAGUGGGGAAUAUUGCACAAUGGGGGGAACCCUGAUGCGGCGACGCCGCGUGAGUGAAGAAGUAUUUCGGUAUGUAAAGCUCUAUCAGCAGGGAAGAAAAUGACGGUACCUGACUAAGAAGCCCCGGCUAACUACGUGCCAGCAGCCGCGGUAAUACGUAGGGGGCAAGCGUUAUCCGGAUUUACUGGGUGUAAAGGGAGCGUAGACGGCAAUGCAAGUCAGAAGUGAAAGCCCGGGGCUCAACUCCGGGACUGCUUUUGAAACUGCGAAGCUGGAGUGCAGGAGAGGCAAGCGGAAUUCCUAGUGUAGCGGUGAAAUGCGUAGAUAUUAGGAGGAACACCAGUGGCGAAGGCGGCUUGCAGGACUGUAACUGACGUUGAGGCUCGAAAGCGUGGGGAGCAAACAGGA
rnacentral:rRNA from 1 species